AAUUUGUGGGGUGGGCAUGUUCACAUUAACUUCUUAUAUCUCUCCCAUGCUUCAAAAAGUGAUUCAUCAUCCAUCUGCCUGAAACAAGUAAUUUGGUUCCUAAGCU
rfam:Medicago truncatula strain A17 chromosome 8, whole genome shotgun sequence.